GUAGGUGGCAAGCGUUGUCCGGAAUUAUUGGGCGUAAAGCGCGCGCAGGCGGUUCUUUAAGUCUGAUGUGAAAGCCCACGGCUCAACCGUGGAGGGUCAUUGGAAACUGGAGAACUUGAGUACAGAAGAGGAAAGCGGAAUUCCACGUGUAGGGGUGAAAUGCGUAGAGAUGUGGAGGAACACCAGUGGCGAAGGCGGCUUUCUGGUCUGUAACUGACGCUGAGGCGCGAAAGCGUGGGGAGCAAACAGGGAUUAGAUACCCUGGUAGUCCACGCCGUAAACGAUGAGUGCUAAGUGUUAGGGGGUUUCCCGCCCCUUAGUGCUGCAGCUAACGCAUUAAGCACUCCGCCUGGGGAUACGGCCGCAAGGCUG
rnacentral:rRNA from 1 species